rnacentral:rRNA from 1 species
CGUGUCGUGAGAUGUUGGGUUAAGUCCCGCAACGAGCGCAACCCUUGAUCUUAGUUGCCAGCAUUCAGUUGGGCACUCUAAGGUGACUGCCGGUGACAAACCGGAGGAAGGUGGGGAUGACGUCAAAUCAUCAUGCCCCUUAUGACCUGGGCUACACACGUGCUACAAUGGACAGAACAAAGGGCAGCGAAACCGCGAGGUUAAGCCAAUCCCACAAAUCUGUUCUCAGUUCGGAUCGCAGUCUGCAACUCGACUGCGUGAAGCUGGAAUCGCUAGUAAUCGCGGAUCAGCAUGCCGCGGUGAAUACGUUCCCGGGCCUUGUACACACCGCCCGUCACACCACGAGAGUUUGUAACACCCGAAGUCGGUGAGGUAACCUUUUAGGAGCCAGCCGCCGAAGGUGGGACAGAUGAUUGGGGU